GUCAUUGUUAUUGAUGGUUAAAUAUAAUUAAUUCCGCUGAAGAUUUUAACACAUGUAUUUAUAUCUACUAAAUGUUUGAGUUUACCUUUUUAAUAAAUAACAAUCCAAAUGAUAAGGUGAUGCAUAUUUUUAAUUGCAAUCAAUCAGUUGGUGUCGGACGACAGCAUGGUUUGGCCGGCCCUAGAAGAUAACACUGGCCUAAUCUCCUUUUAACAACGCCAUUAUUGUAAAGAAGAUAACACUGGACUAAUCUCCAAUUGCUUAACUUUUCAACACACAGUUAACACUUUUGAUCGGCCCACUUCCUAAUCUCUAUUUGAAUUAUAUGUUGUAAUUUUUUAUGAUGUGUGGUAAUAUGGUACGAAGAACAAGGAAUCAAAAGAAAUUAAGGAUACUACCACAUAACAACAUAAUUAGAAAAAAGCAGAAAAAACAUGCAAUGACAACCCACCACUAGUUAUCUCAUGCAUGGCAUGCAUGUACACGCAUAGAAUCCAUUUGCCUUUUUAACAUAACAGCCCAAACAAAUGUAUUCCAUACAAUCCUUUUUAACAGCCCCUUUAUUGUAAAGAAGAGACCACUCGCCUAAUCUCCAGACUCCAAAUCCAAUUGCUUAACUUUUCAAUACACGUACAAUUAACACCAUUAGUCCCACUUCCUAAUCUCCUGCCUAUUAACAUUUUUCUUUACAUGGUUCUUUUCAGGGCCGUCUCCAAGAACGAUAACAAAAUUUUGGGCCUCGAGCGAAACAAAAAAAUUGGGUCCACUUAUUAUAAUAUAAACUCAUCAGCUAUAUAUCAAGAAACCAUAGUACGAUGAUAAUUGUUACAAAAUAAACAAAACAAACCAAAAAUGGUGUAGUUUGAUAAAAUAUGUUUAUACACCCAUAUAUAUAUAUAUAUAAAUAUGUGAUUCAAAUUAGUGAUGUUUUAGGCAUAACAUGUCGCGUAAUCUUACUUUAUAAAACAUUAAUAUUGUUUUUAGAAAAUGAAUCGUUACAAAAUCAUUAACUAAAAAUAAAAGUUAAUUAUGGGAUUUGAACUCAUGACCUUAAGACUAUAACCCUAAACAUUAACCAAUGAAUCAUAUAAUCAUCUUGUUAACUAGAUCAAACUGUUAAUUAAUUAAGUGGGUUGAUAAAUAAAAACGCAAGAGACUAAUAGUUGAAAAUUGUUUAAAUAAAAAUGCAUAUGAGGGGAUUAGAAGUUGUGAGCUUGGUUUUCAAAUUUGAGUGUCUUAACCAUUAAACUAGCUUCAUUUUUUGUUAUUGAACUUAUUUAUUAAAUAUUUAACAUAAUAGUGCUCACUUAAAAAUCUAGGCCUUGAAGUUUUGUCGGGCCCUAUAAACCCUUCAGGCCUUGGCAUCUGCCCAGGCUGCCCAGCCCUAAAACCGGGCCUGAACACGUCAAACAAUAAUGUCAAUAAACGAAAAUAAAGAUCUAAAGAGGUUGACGACACACAUUGAACAAAAUAAAACAAUCAAAAGUCAAAACUGAAAAUGCAUAAAAUCAUCUCGAGUAUUUUCCGUUCUUUGAGGUUGGAUGGUUAAAUUCCUUGUUGCUAACAUCAUCCACAUCCUUGAAGUUACUUUGAGUUGUAGAAUUACCUAUAGUUGAGUCGCCUUCAAAGUUGUAAACAUCAAGCAGUUUACGCUUGCUUAUUUUAUUUUUAUAAAACGUUAAACAGAUUUUAUCACCAAUGUUAUUUGCAUCAUCAUUUUUAACGGUGCUAAUAGGAGUACAUUUUUUGUCAUCUUUAUGGAUGUUUCCCUAGGACAAAUGAUAAAAGUGAGUAAGUAAUAACCAAAUGUUGAUUAAAUAGAAAUAUUCAGUAAUGUAAUAAUUUCUUGAUUGUAUAACUAAUACCUCUUUAACCUUCAACUUUUUGAGCUCUUUAAUAAUUGAGUUAUCAUCAGUAAUGUUUGUAACACCAUAAACUUUAUGAAAAGUUGCCAAGUUAUUACUUGUUAUCUCAAACUUAAAAGCAAACAUCUUCCCAAUCAUGUGUUUAAAUCAACUGCAAAUGUAAUGUAAUCAACAUCCUGAAAAACAUCGAAUUAUAGUAUUUCAUAUAUAAAACAAUAGUAAAAAAUGUAACCAUAAAAAUCUAUUAUAUAAAAUUUAAAUAUUAAAUAUUCAUACGACAAUUGUGUUUUCCUCAAUCAAUUGUUUUGCAGAUUUAAGAAUAAAUUUCUCAAUAAGUUGGUCAGCUGGAUGAUGAAAUGAUAUUAUCGAAACAUCAGCACUAAUGUCUUCAACUUGAAAUUUGAUCUUGAAUCUGGUGAAAUUUUGUAAAUAAAAAUUAUAAAAAUACGAUUACUUAAUAUAAUAUUAAAUAUGUAUAAAAAUAAAUUACUUAGUAUAUUAACAAAAAAAAAAACCGAAAAAGUAUAGUAAUGAUUUUAGAAUACCUUGCCACCCGGUCUACAAUUAUUUAGGAGGUUUUAUCACUUUAUGCUUUAAGACUACACUUAAAUGACGUAUGGACCCGUUUGACAUGUCUAUACAUGUGAUUCCUUUUGUUUUAAGCUAUAUUUUUAAGAUCCAACAUAACCUGAAUUUACAAGUCGAUUUUUUCAAAUUUGUUAAAGAUAAAAAAGUGGCAUUUUUUAUUGUGUUCAGUUGAAGUGUUCUCUAUUUAUCCUUAAUAUUCUGUUAAUUAAACUGUUUUCUGUUAUUUUGCAGCCAUGGUAACUCUCUCCAAAUCUUUUUGUUGUAAGAUAGUGGCUUGAAAUCGGGCUAGUUAUAGCCUCUUUUUUCUUCUUAUUACAAAUCACGUAAAGAAAACAAAACUUCAGGUUAGACGACUACAUGCUUGUAAUAUAGUACUAGAGCUAUCAUAAGCAUCAUCGUCAUUGUUUAGGUUUACAUCUCUUGAUGGCUGUAUUCCAGUAACAAAUACAUGGUCUACACCAGGGGCGGAGCUAGUGUAUUAAAAAGGGUAGCACGGGCUAUCACUCAACCCCGUCUUUAUACCGUUUUCGUAGUGUAAAAAAAAUCCAGUUUUAUACAAAGGAUACCCUUAAUCCCAAAAAAAUGGGAUGCCCCUUAAUUUUUGGGCUAGCUCCGCCACUGGUCUACACCAUGGCCUCAAAGGCUGAACUGGCCUUUCAUGAGGAUACAGACUAUUUUGAACUUGUAACAAAUGUCUACAAAGGCCUUGCUAUAAACUGUUCAAGUGCUAGAACCGUAAUGGAUAUGAAUGCUCGCUGUGACGGAUUAUUGUUUAUGGUAUUUCUUCUUAUAUGCUAAUGAGAUCAAUUCUGAUUAUAUGUUAUUGAGCGCAAUAACCGGCUCGAUAGAAAGCGAGCCUAACUCAGCUCGGCUCAGUUUGACUCGCUCGUUAGCUCGGCUAAGUUUAGCUCAGAUUAAUUUACUUUUACUAUAUUUGAUUUUUCUGUACAUAUAAGAUAUUACAAAAAAAAAAAAAAAAAAAAAAAAAAAAAAAAAAAAAAAA